UGGACCGCGACGCGGCGCUACUGGCCGCC
rnacentral:sRNA from 1 species